UCAUAGCCCUGUCUUAGAAACUUUUGAGAAAGCAGUAUUCCUCGUUCAACAAAAUCAACAUACUUUGAGCUAGCUCAAGAGUAAUGUAUCAAUUGAGACACAUAUACUCCAUAUGCUGGUGCCGCUGGGAUGUUGCUACACAGAAAUAGAAAGUUGACUAUAGGAAAAUUAAAAUCAUCGCGUUUGUCAUAAAUUUUGGUAUGCAACCUACCAUCAGUAGUCAUUUCGAGAAGAAGGUCUAAAUAUGAAGCAGAUUUAUCUGUGUCGGUAGUAUCUUUAAUUUCAAAUUCACUUGGAUAUAUUAAAUGUAAGUGAUCA
rnacentral:lncRNA from 1 species